GGGCCCGCACAAGCGGUGGAGCAUGUGGUUUAAUUCGAUGAUACGCGAGGAACCUUACCAGGGCUUAAAUGUAGUGGGACAGGUCUAGAGAUAGACCCUUCUUCGGACUCAUUACAAGGUGCUGCAUGGUUGUCGUCAGCUCGUGCCGUGAGGUGUCAGGUUAAGUCCUAUAACGAGCGCAACCCCUAUCGUUAGUUGCCAGCGAGUAAUGUCGGGAACUCUAACGAAACUGCCAGUGCAAACUGUGAGGAAGGUGGGGAUGACGUCAAAUCAUCACGGCCCUUACGUCCUGGGCUACACACGUGCUACAAUGGCCGGUACAGAGAGCAGCCACUACGCGAGUAGGAGCGAAUCUUCAAAACCGAUCUCAGUUCGGAUCGCAGUCUGCAACUCGACUGCGUG
rnacentral:rRNA from 1 species